rnacentral:tRNA from 1 species
GCUCCCGUGGCCCAGCGGCAACGGCACCUCCCUGACGUGGAGAGGAUCGCAGGUUCGAGUCCUGCCGGGAGUA